UCUUUGCUGCUGCUGCUGCUGCUGCUGCUGCAGCAGCAGCAGCAGCAGCAGCUGUAAGAGCAGCUGGAGUUGCUGCUGCAGUCGCACCUGCUGCUGCUACAGUUGCAGCAGCAGUUGCAGCAGCAGUUUCUGCAGCAGCUGCAGCAGCAGCUGCAGCAGUAGUCGUAGCAGCAGUUGCAGCAGCAGCAGCAGCUGCUGCUGCAGCUAUAGCAGCAGUUGCUGCUGCUGCAGCAGCAGCAGCAGCAGCAGCAGCAGCAGCAGCAUCGCUGU
rnacentral:sRNA from 1 species